GAUGAACGCUGACAGAAUGCUUAACGCAUGCAAGUCUUUGGCGAAGCUGUGCUUGCACAGCCUAGCCAAGGCGGACGGGUGAGUAACGCGUAAGGAACUUGCCCUGCAGUCAGGGAUAACAGACGGAAACGACUGAUAAAACCUGAUAAAGUCAGACGGACUCAUGUCCAGUCUGAUGAAAAGAAAUGCUGCAGGAGAGCCUUGCGUCCUAUUAGCUUGUUGGUGGGGUAACGGCCCACCAAGGCAAUGAUAGGUAGCCGGCCUGAGAGGGUGGACGGCCACAAGGGGACUGAGAUACGGCCCUUACUCCUACGGGAGGCAGCAGUGGGGAAUAUUGGACAAUGGGGGCAACCCUGAUCCAGCAAUUCUGUGUGCACGAAGAAGGUUUUCGGAUUGUAAAGUGCUUUCAGCAGGGAAGAAAAAAAUGACGGUACCUGCAGAAGAAGCGACGGCUAAAUACGUGCCAGCAGCCGCGGUAAUACGUAUGUCGCAAGCGUUAUCCGGAAUUAUUGGGCAUAAAGGGCAUCUAGGCGGCCAGAUAAGUCUGGGGUGAAAACUUGCGGCUCAACCGCAAGCCUGCCCUGGAAACUAUGUGGCUAGAGUACUGGAGAGGUGGACGGAACUGCACGAGUAGAGGUGAAAUUCGUAGAUAUGUGCAGGAAAUGCCGAUGAUGAAGAUAGUUCACUGGACGGUAACUGACGCUGAAGUGCGAAAGCUAGGGGAGCAAACAGG
rnacentral:rRNA from 1 species